GGAUGGAGUCGCAUACUACAACAAUCUCAUUGAUGAGCUCAUAAACAAAACUCUUAAACCCUUUGCCACAAUCUUUCAUUGGGAUAUUCCCCAAGCCUUAGAAGAUGAGUAUGGUGGUUUCCUAAACCAAACAGUUGUGGAUGAUUUCCUGGACUUCGCGGGGUUUGCUUCCAGAGGUUUGGCGAUAGGGUAAAGCAUUGGAUCACACUAAAUGAGCCAUGGACAUACAGCAAUGGUGGAUACGGAGUCGGGAUGUUAGCACCUUUCCGAUGUUCCAGCUUUAUUGACCCGACUUGCACCGGUG